rnacentral:lncRNA from 1 species
AUAAUGUGGUACAAUAGAAAGGGUUUAGCACCACCACCUUUGCAAUGUUACUGCAUUAUCUUGUUCUUGAUAACACAAAUUAAUGGUCAGAUUCCAAACCUAUUACCACCUAUUCCAAACCUAUUACCACCUAUUCCGAACCUCUUUCCACCGAUUCCAAACAUACUACCGCCCGUUCCAAACAUACAACCACCUGUUCCUAACUUGAUUCCACCCAUUCCGAACAUACUACCCCCCAUUCCGAACAUACUACCACCUAUUCCAAACCUAGUACCACCUAUUCCGAACAUACUACCGCCCGUUCCAAACAUACUACCACCUGUUCCUAACUUGAUUCCACCCAUUCCAAACAUACUACCGCCUAUUCCGAACCUAAUACCGCCCAUUCCGAACAUAUUACCCCCCAUUCCAAACGUACUACCACCUAUUCCAAACCUAAUACCGCCGAUUCCAAACCUACCAUCCAUUCCAGGGCUGCAAUCUCCGCCUGCAGAAGCGGAAACUUGUCCGAAAGACACAACCAAAAUGAAGGUGGA